rnacentral:rRNA from 1 species
AGUCGAGGGGUAACAGAAAAGCUUGCUUUUGCUGACGACCGGCGCACGGGUGCGUAACGCGUAUGCAACCUACCUCAUACUGGAGGAUAGCCCCUGGAAACGGGGAUUAAUACUCCAUAGUAUCACAAUUUCGCAUGUUAUUGUGAUUAAAGUUUUUCGGUAUGAGAUGGGCAUGCGUCCCAUUAGCUUGUUGGUGAGGUAACGGCUCACCAAGGCAACGAUGGGUAGGGGGCCUGAGAGGGAGGUCCCCCACACUGGUACUGAGACACGGACCAGACUCCUACGGGAGGCAGCAGUGAGGAAUAUUGGUCAAUGGAGGAAACUCUGAACCAGCCAUGCCGCGUGAAGGAUGACGGCCCUAUGGGUUGUAAACUUCUUUUAUAGAGGAAGAAACUUGUCUACGUGUAGACAACUGACGGUACUCUACGAAUAAGGAUCGGCUAACUCCGUGCCAGCAGCCGCGGUAAUACGGAGGAUCCAAGCGUUAUCCGGAUUCAUUGGGUUUAAAGGGUCCGUAGGCGGAUUUUUAAGUCAGUGGUGAAAGCCGACAGCUCAACUGUCGAACUGCCGUUGAUACUGGAAAUCUUGAGUACAAAUGAAGUAGGCGGAAUGAGUCAUGUAGCGGUGAAGUGCAUAGAUAUGACUCAGAACACCGAUUGCGAAGGCAGCUUACUAACAUGUAACUGACGCUGAGGGACGAAAGCGUGGGGAGCGAACAGGAUUAGAUACCCUGGUAGUCCACGCCGUAAACGAUCAUCACUCGCUGUUGGCGAUAUACUGUCAGCGGCCAAGCGAAAGUAUUAAGUGAUGCACCUGGGGAGUA